GAUGAAGAACGCAGCGAAAUGCGAUAAGUAAUGUGAAUUGCAGAAUUCCGUGAAUCAUCGAGUCUUUGAACGCACAUUGCGCCCCCUGGUAUUCCGGGGGGCAUGCCUGUCCGAGCGUCAUUGCUGCCCUCAAGCACGGCUUGUGUGUUGGGCCUCCGUCCUCCUCCCGGGGGACGGGCCCGAAAGGCAGCGGCGGCACCGCGUCCGGUCCUCGAGCGUAUGGGGCUUCGUCACCCGCUCUUGUAGGCCCGGCCGGCGCUUGCCGACACAUCAAUCUUUUUUCCAGGUUGACCUCGGAUCAGGUAGGGAUACCCGCUGAACUUAAGCAUAUCAUAAGCGGAGGA
rnacentral:misc_RNA from 1 species